AUUGAACGCUGGCGGCAGGCCUAACACAUGCAAGUCGAACGAGUGGCGGACGGGUGAGUAAUGUCUGGGCAACUGCGUGAUGGAGGGGGAUCACUACUGGAAACGGUAGCUAAUACCGCAUACCAUCAGAUGUGUCCAGAGGGGAUUAGCUAGUGGGUGGGGUAAAGGCGCACCAAGGCGAUGAUCCCUAGCUGGUCUGAGAGGAUGAUCAGCCACACUGGAACUGAGACACGGUCCAGACUCCUACGGGAGGCAGCAGUGGGGAAUAUUGCACAAUGGGCGCAAGCCUGAUGCAGCCAUGCCGCGUGUAUGAAGAAGGCCUUCGGGUUGUAAAGUACUUUCAGCGGGGAGGCGUUACCCGCAGAAGAAGCACCGGCUAACUCCGUGCCAGCCGCCGCGGUAAUAC
rnacentral:rRNA from 1 species